rnacentral:rRNA from 16 species
UUGAUAAAGCGGAAGAGAGAGAAAGAUAAAAAUAAAUUGAAAAGAUGGCACAGAUGGAUUCGCGUCUUAUGUGGCGAGGAGGAGGAGGUGGGGUCCCGUAGCCUCGUCGGGGGAAGUGAUAAACAAUCGGCUCAUAACUGGUACGAAAAAGGGAAAUAUGAUUGUUUAAUUGAAACAAAGCAUUGCGAUAGUUCUCACGGAUGCUGACACAAUGUGAUUUCUCGCUAGUGCUUUGAAUGUUAAAGUGAAGAAAUUCAAUCAAGCGCGCGUAAACGACGAGAUAACUAUGACUCUCUUAAGGUAGCCAAAUGCCUCCUCAUCCAAUUAGUGAUGCGCAUGAAUGGAUUAACGAGAUUCCCACGGUCCCUGUCUACUAUCCAGCGAAAUCACAACCAAGGGAACGGGUUUGG